CCUACGGGGGGCUGCAGUGGGGAAUAUUGGACAAUGGGGGCAACCCUGAUCCAGCCAUGCCGCGUGUGUGAAGAAGGCCCUCGGGUUGUAAAGCACUUUCAGUGAGGAAGAACGCCUGGUGGUUAAUACCCAUCAGGAAAGACAUCACUCACAGAAGAAGCACCGGCUAACUCCGUGCCAGCAGCCGCGGUAAUACGGAGGGUGCGAGCGUUAAUCGGAAUUACUGGGCGUAAAGCGCGCGUAGGUGGCUUGAUAAGCCGGUUGUGAAAGCCCCGGGCUCAACCUGGGAACGGCAUCCGGAACUGUCAAGCUAGAGUGCAGGAGAGGAAGGUAGAAUUCCCGGUGUAGCGGUGAAAUGCGAAGAGAUCGGGAGGAAUACCAGUGGCGAAGGCGGCCUUCUGGACUGACACUGACACUGAGGUGCGAAAGCGUGGGUAGCAAACAGGAUUAGAUACCCCUGUAGUC
rnacentral:rRNA from 1 species